CCCCACCUCCUUCUAUUUAUGGAAAAUGGGUUGCGUAGGAGCUGAGCAUAGCUACGCAUCUAAAGUCUCUUUUGUUUUCCCUCUAUUUUUAGGUAUGCAUGCGAGUGUAGCUAUGCAUCCUAGCUACGGUUGGCCGCUUAGAUACAUUCCCUAGCUACGGACAAUUGAAGCUUCUCCUUCUCAUCUUUUGUUCUUCCUGGUUUAAGCUACGCAUGCCAGCGUAGCUAUGCUGGCUACAAAAAAUAUUUUCCUCUUUUAUUUACUAAACCCUCCAAGUUAUGCAUUUAGCCACUCAAUCUAAGGACCCUCAACCCUUAUGACCUUAUGUUCAAGUAUCCCAAUGACUCUGCUACCCUCGCAUUAGUCCGUACGUACAUCGAGGUCUCACUAAUUAUUCUCUUAAGCUCUAAUUAGGCUUAAUCCUGUUAGAAAUAUUUAUGGGGCUUUACAUGCACGUGGUGUAGUUAGAGUAGCGACUGAGGAGCCACCAGUAGUUCUCGUUGGGGGACAGGCACCUAUUGUCACCCAUGCACUUUAGGAGACCCUAGCACAUGUUUUGAGCAUGUUCGCUAUUCUAGCUUAGGCGGGGAUGAUUCCACUUGCACCAUACACAUCUCAGGCUGGGGGAGGAGCACUGACUCCCCUGGCCCAUACUCCAAAGCAGCGGGUCCAUGCAAUAAGGUCCCGGAGGUUAUGCUAGCGCAACCUAUUAUUCUGGUUCAGCCCAUGAUUAGGGUAGUAACAUCUGAGGAGGAGCAACUUAGACUUGAGAGGUUCAAGAAGUAUCAUCCUCCUAGCUACAGAGGAUGCGCAGGGUUAUCUAGAGAAGUGUCGUCUUAUUCUCCACACCAUGGGUAUUGUGAAGACGAGCGGAUUUGCUUUCACUACAUUCUAGCUGUCAGGAGCAGCGUGUCAGUUGUGACAGGCUUACGAGGAGAGUAGCCCAGUCGAUGCAACUUCACUUAUAUGGACUCAAUUUUAAGAGAUGUUCUUGGGAGAGUUUUCUCCCCAAACCCUUCGGGAUGCAUGGCACACGGAGUUUGAGCAGUUGCACCAGGGUGCUAUGAUAGUGUCAGAGUAUACCAUCAGAUUCAGUGAGUUGUCCAGACAUGUACCUACCUUGGUCUCUGCAGUCCGAGAGUGAGUCUAUCGAUUCAUCGAGGGGCUCAACUAUGGUAUUAGAUUUAACAUGGCUCAAACGUUAGAGACAGAUACUCCGUACCAAUAGGUGGUAGAGAUUGCGUAGAGGUUGGAGGGUAUGCACGGCCGUGAGAAAGAGGACAGGGAGGCCAGGAGGCUGUCACGACCCAAAUCAGAGGGCCAUGACUGGCACCCGGUGUCUACUCAACUGAGCGCCACACACCUUAUCCUUUUUUUUAUAAGACCAGUCACGGGCCAUGAUAGGCCAUAUCUAUAUAUAUAAUUAACAAUAUUAGAACUUAACUCACAUAAAUAAUUCAAAAAAAAAAGAUAUAUAUAGAUACAUAGGGGCCGACAAGGCCGUUGACAUGUCAUACCUAAAACUAUACACAGGAGACUGUCUGCAAAACCUAUACUAAAACAUGACCAUAAUAUAUAAGUCGGGACAGGGUUCCCGACAUCCUCAUAAAAUAAAAUAACAUAUAUAGAACGUGACUCGGCAAUACUCUAGGAAGAUGUGGAGCUCACCAACCAAAAGCUGAUAUCUGGAGGCAGCCUACAGUGGAUGGUCCUCACCUCGCCUAUCUACACCUGCGUGGCAUGAAAUACAGCGCCCCAGGAAAAGGGACGUCAGUAUUAAAGAAUGUAUCGAGUAUGUAAGGUAGAAAUAAAACGUAGUAAUAAGAUACUAUCUCAUGGAGGGAUAAGAGUCAACUUAUAACCUCUGACUUGCCGUUGAGGGCCAUAACUUAUAGAAUAACUGCCCAACUAAUCAUUGGUAACUGCCCGACCGGCCGUAGCACGGUGAUAAAUGUAUGACUGCCCGAUUGGCCAUAGCUCGGUGGUAAGUAUGUAACUGCCCAACCGGCCGUAGCUCGGUGGUAAAUGUCUGACUGCCUGACCGGCUGUAGCAUGGUGGUAAAUGCAUGAAGAUGCAUGUAUCACUAUAUUAUAAACAUUUAUAUAUUUUUCAUAUACCUCAAUAGAGACCUAGGAACGUACUUAGACAUACUUGAAUAUAACUUUACAUGAAUGAAUAAUAUAGACAUCUUUAACUGCUAAGAGUAGAACCACUUAUGAAAUAACAUUACGUUUACGUAUCAUUACUUGGAUCAUGCCAAAAGAAGAAAGGAUUAGCCUUAACAUACCUGGAGUAGGGAAAAAUCCGUAUGAUAUUCUUGAGAAAGAUUACACCGUACUCCCUUAAAAUUGCAAAAUCUCCAUUUGAUUUAUUGAAGAUCCGUGCCUUUCUACGUUAACUGUCGGUUGUCUCCUACGUUAGCUUCAGAUUGUAGCUUCAGAUUGCCUUACGUAGAGCCCUUCCUAUUCUUUCAAAAUGUUGGAAUAUAAAAGAUAUAUACUCUUUCAAAAAUGUUGGAAGAUAAGUAUUUUAGUUAUUAAAAGAUUUGUAGCUUUUCUAAUUACAUGGCUUGUCUUGGAAUUGGGUUGCCACCUAAUCUAAUAUGACUAAGAGUCAUUUAUUUUGUUAGUGGAUUGCUGCCACGUGGGGGUGGGGUUUUAAUCUUAUCCCAAACUCAUUAGUUAAUUAGGUAAUGUCCCAUUACCCGAUAAUUAACCAAUUACCCACAUAAUCAAGAAUUAUCUCAAAUUACUUAAAAUACUACUUAUUUUUUUACAUACAUCAUACUAUCACGGUCAUAUGGUACCUUGUAUGGUACUAGUCCAUAAAUUUCGGGUAUUAUAGCUCGGACCGUAUUUUAUCCCAAAUCGACAACCUACAACGAACCUCAUUUUCUUUGAUUCGUGUACCCUUUACCCUUCAUGGCACUUACUUAUCGCUUGUUAUAAAUAGCAUAAAUACGUUAACCUCAAGAUAAUCUCAUCCCCGAGUCUACGUCGAUUAACUGAAGACGAAACUUUAACGUACUAAUAUGCGAGAUGUAACAUCCUUCCCCCCUUAGAAACAUUCGUCCUCGAAUAUUUAAACUUGCAAGAUGUACAUACAUACUCGUCAAUUAUAAAUGUAUAUAUCUUCCCGGGAUAUACUCCAAUGAAACAAAUAUCAGUCUCUCACGGGGUCAGGAUGUCGUCCCUCCCUAAAACUACUUCCUAAGCCAUUCGUCACCUAUGACUCUAUUAAUCUAUCUUCUAGGCACUGACACCUACUAAUUGUAAUCUUAAUAACCGGGUUCAUAACUUUCUAUUCCAUUAUACUAACUUUCCCAAAAUCUUGCGUACUAUAUGUUGUUUCCUCCUUUGGGCGUUAGAGCUAUCAGGGUUCUAACUUCUUAAUGUUCUAGGUUACUCCCCUUUCCUCCCUUAGUCCACUAUCCUCGGGUUCUUACUUUGCUUUCAAGCUAGCCUUGGUUUCCCUUAACCCUUCAGACGUAAUUGCAACUCACUCUUACAUUAAUCAUAUUAACUGGGCAAUUUGCGUUAAUAAGAUCGAACAUUAUCCAUAGUCACAGUACCUGACACAUCAUCCGGUGUAGCCUCUGGGUCCUGAUGACCUGCCAAAGCAUAUAUGCGAUUCUGGCUACCGCCGGAGCUAGAUGCUCCACCCCUGCCUCUACCUCUAUCAGCUGAUGCCUGAGGGCCUCGCUCUUGAGGUCAUACUGAAGAGGAGGAGAUUGUUAUAGAUAUGGUGGGAUGAACCAUCCCGCUUCUGUCAUUUAUAGGAUAGUCCCUCAUGUAAUUACUAGGGUCUCCAUAGGUAUAACAUACAUUAGAUCCCUGAUGACAUUGUCCAGAAUGAGCUCUACCGCAUUGACUGCACCGCGGACGAGGCGCCCUCAUCUGCGUUGAAUCCCUCCAUUUUUGAAAACCCAAAAUUUUUGAGCCCUGACCUGAUUCAGAAUAGACAUAUCCCUUAUAAUACAGCUUCUGCAAUUGUUGGACACUUUUAACCGGAUAUGGUGACAUAGGAUCGCCCGGAAAAUCCUCAGGUUGCCUAGCAGACCUAGCCUUCUUACGCUGACCCUCGUCACGAUUCUCGUAUUGCUGUUGUUUUCGAUCCUCCAUAUUCUGAGCAUAAGCCUGGAUACGGGAAAUAUGCGAUCGUGAAACACUCAUUAAUCAGGUACGGACGUGAAACACUCAUUGAUAAAGAUUGAGGCUUUAUGGUCCGGAUUAGUUUUUUAUGAGUUUUAUUUGUGCUUUGAAGUUAUUUUGGUUAGAUUUGAGCCGUCCGGAGGUCAAUUUACCGGAGAAGUUCAUUUUUGAGUAUCGGUCUGUCUUCUUUGAGGUAAGUAUCUUGCCUAACUUCGUGUGGGGAAACUACCUCUUAGGAUUUGAGUCUUCUAUGCUAAUUAUAGUUCGUGUACCCGAGGUGACGAGUACGUGCCCAAACUUAUUUGUGGAAAAUUGGCCUUUUAGGGAUUCUUAGGUCCUUAUAUUCAUUGAAUAUGCAGUUGUUCUCGUUACGAUUACGUUUAUUAAUUUCUAGUUUCACUUCUACCUGCUUUUAUUGGAAUUAAUUGCUUCAUGAUCCACUCUUGUUGUUCAUUUGAUUCAUAUGUUCCUUAACUGAAAUUGUUAUCUCUUCUAUUGUCGUGUUGUCUUUUACCUAACAACUUAUCUUUAUCUGAAAAUUAUAAUUAUCUCUCCUGUAAUUCUUCAUCCUUAAUUGAGGUAAAUGAUUAUCCUUAUACUGCUUAUCCUUAAUUGAAGUUGUUGUAUCUCUCUCUUAAUUGCCAAACCUUAAAAGAAGUUAGACAUCCUAUAUUUUAGUUGACUUGUCCCUAUUUGGAAUUAUUCGUCUUGUGUUAGCUCCCUCAUCGUCGAACUGUACAUUGUGGACCGUUGUUACAUAAUAUUUCCUUUCUUGUUGAGUUGUUCUUAUUAUGACUAGCGUUCUCUAUUGUGGCUACUUCUUGUGAAUUAGUUCCUCAGUUUUCUUGAGUUCUGGAAUUUCUGAGUUGAUGUAUUUGUCGUAUCCUUGUAUUAUUAUAAUUGUUGUUGUUUUACUUAUUGUGGUGAUGCACGAGGUUUCUGCCGUGCAGUUGUUGUUAUUGUGAUGCACGAGGUUUCUGCCGUGCGGUUGUUGUUAUGGGGUUGCACGUGGUUUAUGCCGUGCUAUUAUUACUAUUGAUAUUUGCGCAUGUGGCGAGACAAGGUGGGAACAUUGUUAUGCACGUGUGGCGAGACAAGACAGUCACUUACUCUAUUAUUGCAAACGUUGGGAGACAAGGUGGGCUGUGUGAGGGAUUGAUUUGUGAUGAUUUGUGAUGGCCUGGGGGUAUUCUUGUUGUUGAUAUUUGUGUAGUGGUACACUUACCUAUGUGAGCUUUAUUUUGUAAAAGUUGUGAGAAAAUAUUUUACGUGUUGUCCGUUCUUUUUUCCUUAUGCUUAUUUGCUGGUAUGAACUAUGUUAGGACACUUGCACAAGCAUACACGCAGUUAAGCUCUCUUAUCGGAUAAGAGGUUUUCUUGAUAUUGUUGGGAAUAGAUGCUCACUCUUGUUUACUUACCUUCUACGUGAGAAUGGCUCUAUUAGCACGUGAGUCGUCAGUGCGGUUAUGAGGUGUUAUGAGGGCACAUGAUGCCAAGUGUUAGGGUUCAGGUAUUGAGACCCGUGAGUUGUGAUUUGUCCGAGGUUCGGUACCUCGUGGAGUUUGAUGACUAAAAUCUUAUGUAACGGUGGUUGUAGUUGCUGAGUUAUUACUUGUCUUUGUCGUAUUUGUGAUUCCGGAUUUAGGUUGUGUUCCAUUUACUUUUCUGUGUCCUUUUUAUGGUAUUCCGCUGAUACUUGUUAUUUCUUUUCUUAUUGCCAUUACUAUAUUGUGAGCCAUAUUGCAUAGUCUUUAUGUAGAUAUCAUAUUUCUAUUGUUCAUAUACUUAUACUUGUUCAGUUUGAUAGACCAGUGGGUGUCUUAACUGUUCCUCGUCACUACUCCACCGAGGUUAGUCUUGAUACUUACUGGGCACCGCUGUGGUAUGAUCAUUCUACACUUCUGCAUAUUUCUGUGCAGAUCCAGGUAUUUGUCGUUAGCAGCUGUGCGGGUCGUUGUUGUGGAGACUCACAAGGUAAACCUACUACUGCGUUCGCAGGCUUCAGAGUCAUCUUCAAGACUUUGUUUUGCACUAUUUAUUCUUAUUUCUGGACAAUUGUAUUUAGAAGUUUUCUAGCAAACACUCUGUAGAGCUUAUGACUUGUAUUACCGGUUUUGGAAAUUAUAAAUUUUAAGAGAUUUCUAUUUCAAAUUGUUAGAUGUUAUUUAAAUAAUGUUGCUGUUUCAAUUAAUGUUAGGCUUACCUAGUCCCUAAGACUAUGUGCAAUCACGAUACCCAAACGAAGGGGAAAUUAGGUCGUGACAAUUUAUUGGUUGAACAAUUCUUGUUACUUUUAUUCUUUCUUGUCUUACCGGUUUCGUCAGUAUUUGAUUAUUUGUGGUUUUCAUUGCGUGUUUCCUUCUUGUUAUAUUUUUGCUUAAGAUUCUGUCAUUAGUAUACCUUACUAAACUGCUUUGUUAUCAUUCAUUUCUCUGCUUUUCAUUACUUUCCGUUAUUAUAUUCUGUUAUGUUUAUCUUCUCCUAGUAGGUGUCUUGACCUGACCUCGUCACUACUCUACCGAUGUUAGGCUUGAUACUUACUGGGUACCAUUGUGGUGUACUCAUACUACGCUUCUGCAUAUUUUUUGUGCAGAUUCAGGUACGUUUGCUCAUGCUGGACGCUAGAGAUUGUUUGGUUUGCUGCUUCAGGAGACUUCAAUGUAUACUUGCCCGACGUCCGCAGGCCUUGGGGUCACCUUCCGUUAUCUUCUCAUUACUGUUAUUUCCCUUAUCAGACAGUGUUGUAGUAGACAUUUUAGAAUAUUCUGUAGAGUUGAUGACUCAGUUCCACUAGAUAUUAGGAGUUAUCUAUCAGUUGUGCUAUUGAGAUUUGUUACGAUGGUUUAAUGGUUGUUUUAUUAUUAUUUUCGCUAUUUCUCUAUACAUGUUAGUCUUAUCUAGUCUUAGAGACUAGGUGAUAUCACGACAUCCUAAGGUGAAAAAUUUAGGUCGUGACAGUGUAUUGCUUGGAAAGGGUACACAUUUAGGUAGUUGUAAAACAAAAACACUCCUAACGUAUGUGAGGAAUCAAUACGGAGGGUUAUUUGUGCGAUUAGGUAUAACGAAACCUUGGUGUAAUCUUGGUGAGCGGUGAACUAGUGCCAGCUAGCGUAGCUCGAAAGAAUACGUCUAGUAAAUUGUGAUAGUUGCUCGAAAGAGAAUUACGACACCCGAAGUACUCACGAUCGAUAGAGAAUACUUAGGCGAAAGUAUAGGAGACAUAGCAGGAAGAAUUUCAAAAAUUAGGGAAAUCAUAACUCUAGGCCUCCUUAAUUGUGUCUCUAACCUUUAUAACUUAAGCAUUGUUCGAACUCGUGUUUCUUUGCAAUAUUGAACAAUUGUAGCUAAGCCUUAGUUCUCUGUGGGAUUCGACUCCGGACUUUUAAACUGGAUUAUAUUUGCAAUGACCGCUUAAUCAUUUUUAUAAGGCAUAGUUGGGCGUGAUCAACCACAAAUAAAUAUUUUUUUUUAAAGCUUAUAUUGGUUUGGUGUCAUCAAAAUUAAUAUGUGAAACCUAGGGACUAACAUGAUGCCAAUAAAUUCAUUCUUUUUUCACGCAAUGGCGUGACACUAUAGCAAGUUCAAGCAACGUUACUCUGGUUGCCAUGCCAAACCUUCUUUGACUCUUUGCUUUCGUAACUUAAUAAGAAGGCAACCUUUUCUUUCUAUAAGAAUGUUGAGAGUGGGAUAAGUUUAUAAAAUUUUACUUCACAAGCACUUGAUUGCUUGUCAUAAUUCCAUGUCCUUGCAGAAAUCUACAGGACCAAAUACUUCAGCGACUCCGAACUGGCCACUCGCAAUAAUAGAGGAAAAAAGGACUAAUAUCAGACAGUAAUAUCUUGUAACCAAAUGGAUUUGCCAGUAGAAAUUGCCCCUCUUUCGACUAAUAGAUAUUCUUGACCCUAAUGCAUAGUGAAAAAAUGCCGACGAAAGAAGGAGCUUCUCUCUUCUCUGGUCAUACUCAUCUUUGAAGUCCUAAUACCUGGAGUUGCUUCGAUUGGAAAGUUAAAACAACCUUGAUGGAAGCAGGUUUGAAGCCUUUUGUGGCAUUGUUAAGGAAAAUUGAGAUUACUGAAAGAUAGAUACAGAAGCCCUAAUCAAAUCACUAGUAUAUUUGGAAGUAAUAGAGGUUGCUUGAAAAUCCUUUGUUUCAUCAAUUUCCUUUUUAGAACCCGAAAGUCGAAACUCAAAAUUCAAUCUUUAUACCAUACCUAUUUCUUGUAAUUAAUAUAUUUUUUCUGAAAAUUCAAAAAAUAACCUUAAUGGGAGGCGCUAUUGGGUAUGUCCAUGCUAUUGUAUAAGUGUCUAUCACUCGAUCUCCCUGCUCUUGUUUUCUUGUACUGCUGAAAUGAUGCUACUAAAACGGCACUUAAAUUUUUGUCUUCUAAAAAAUUUAACAAAUACAGUCUUUGAAGUUCAGAUAUUUUGCAUUGCAAUUUUUUAAACUUCUGAAGUGUUGUUUUUUAGUACUCUACAGAACUGUUUUUUCAAGUUUCGGAAGUGCAUUUCUUUUAGCAGUGCUGUUUAUUUUACAGUGAAGUAAAAUGCAUUAUUUUUAUACCUGCAAAUAGAACAACAAGUGCAGAGAUGUAGAAGAUUGAAGCAUUAUUCUUGACAAAGCGUAGCUAUUCUGAGUUUGAGAAUGAGCUUUCACGGAGAAUGAUUUUCACGUUAUUUGGUUAUCUCACGUGAGCGGCACAUGGGGAAAGGGGUCAAACUUAACAGCCCAUUUUGAAAAAUCUGUUAGGGAUAGGGCUUUCGACCAAACAUAUCACCUUAUAACAUACAUAAAGGACUAUAUCCAUAAAGGGAGAUAUAUUAAGGGUCAAAAUAAAGCAACCCCAAUACAUUAAGGACCAUUUUGAUUAUUUCCUCUUGCACAUUACUUUACUAUUUAAUAGGAAAGCUAGGCUUCGACGUGUCUGCUUAGAAGGUAUUUACUUUCAAAUCAAGAUUAUAUUCGUUAUUUUACUGCAUCAACAAACACCCACCGCUCUUCUCCUCUCUUUUUUUCUCCCAACAUACUUCAUUAGUUCAUUUCUUCCCUAGCACCGACGAGACCCCUCGCAUUCCCGGUUGUCUUCCUUGCCAUCAUUGAUGGUCCACAGAGAACCAACCUCUUCAUAACUUUCAAUUCACACACAACUUUUUAGAAGAAACCCAACAAAAUCGGCCCAAUUUCAUCCAUCAAAACCCUAACUCAAAAUUAGCCAAAUGAUCUACGAUAUAUACAAAGUUCUGUCUCUACUCCACUUAUUUCUACAAUUCUAAGGUAAAUUUCGCGUUUUGCUUGUGAAUCUAUUUUACAUUUGAUACACUUUCUUCUACUUAUGAUUUUUCACUUCGUCUUUCUAUAUCUCUAUUUGAAAAGAACAUUUAUUCUUUUUUGUCUUUCUGUUUGUUUCAAUAUUAUGCUGGAUUUAGAGGAAAAUUGUGGAAGGCUCAUUUGAUUAUUGAAUUUUUCUGUUGAAACUAUAGGUUGUGGUAAUAAUUUCUAUCUUAAAUCAGACAUUAGUAUUACACUUAGCUACUUUUUCUAUCAUUGCUCCAGUAACUUGUGGAUUAUUUGUAUGCCUAAAGAAAUUGAUUUCAAAG
rnacentral:lncRNA from 1 species